rnacentral:rRNA from 1 species
AUUGAACGCUGGCGGCAGGCUUAACACAUGCAAGUCGAGCGGAGAUGAGGUGCUUGCACCUUAUCUUAGCGGCGGACGGGUGAGUAAUGCUUAGGAAUCUGCCUAUUAGUGGGGGACAACAUUCCGAAAGGAAUGCUAAUACCGCAUACGUCCUACGGGAGAAAGCAGGGGAUCUUCGGACCUUGCGCUAAUAGAUGAGCCUAAGUCGGAUUAGCUAGUUGGUGGGGUAAAGGCCUACCAAGGCGACGAUCUGUAGCGGGUCUGAGAGGAUGAUCAGGCACACUGGGACGGAGAAACGGCCCAGACUCCUACGGGAGGCAGCAGUGGGGAAUAUUGGACAAUGGGGGGAACCCUGAUCCAGCCAUGCCGGGUGUGUGAAGAAGGCCUUAUGGUUGUAAAGCACUUUAAGCGAGGAGGAGGCUACUGAGACUAAUACUCUUGGAUAGUGGACGUUACUCGCAGAAUAAGCACCGGCUAACUCUGUGCCAGCAGCCGCCGUAAUAC